AGUACAGUAGAGNUNGGCGNNNUUCGUGGUGUAGCGGUGAAAUGCUUAGAUAUCACGAAGAACUCCGAUUGCGAAGGCAGCUCACUGGACUGCAACUGACACUGAUGCUCGAAAGUGUGGGUAUCAAACAGGAUUAGAUACCCUGGUAGUCCACACAGUAAACGAUGAAUACUCGCUGUUUGCGAUAUACAGUAAGCGGCCAAGCGAAAGCAUUAAGUAUUCCACCUGGGGAGUACGCCGGCAACGGUGAAACUCAAAGGAAUUGACGGGGGCCCGCACAAGCGGAGGAACAUGUGGUUUAAUUCGAUGAUACGCGAGGAACCUUACCCGGGCUUAAAUUGCAGUGGAAUGAUGUGGAAACAUGUCAGUGAGCAAUCACCGCUGUGAAGGUGCUGCAUGGUUGUCGUCAGCUCGUGCCGUGAGGUGUCGGCUUAAGUGCCAUAACGAGCGCAACCCUUAUCUUCAGUUACUAACAGGUCAUGCUGAGGACUCUGGAGAGACUGCCGUCGUAAGAUGUGAGGAAGGUGGGGAUGACGUCAAAUCAGCACGGCCCUUACGUCCGGGGCUACACACGUGUUACAAUGGGGGGUACAGAAGGCAGCUAGCGGGUGACCGUAUGCUAAUCCCAAAAUCCUCUCUCAGUUCGGAUCGAAGUCUGCAACCCGACUUCGUGAAGCUGGAUUCGCUAGUAAUCGCGCAUCAGCCACGGCGCGGUGAAUACGUUCCCGGGCCUUGUACACACCGCCCGUCAAGCCAUGGGAGCCGGGGGUACCUGAAGUACGUAACCGCAAGGAUCGUCCUAGGGUAAAACUGGUGACUGGGGCUAAGUCGUAACAAGGUAACC
rnacentral:rRNA from 1 species